CGUAUACGUAAGCUCCCGAAGGGAGCUAGAGAGGUAACUCUUUUCGCGCGUUUUUAUUUCCCAUAGGUUUUGUACACAGCCAACAUGGCUGCCGGCGGACAAUUUGAAGGGUGAUUUUGGAGGGUCAAUGUUUUAUUCAUAAGAAUGACGUCAAAUUACGCAAAAUGCACUUCUAUGAUUGGCUAAGACGCUAAUGUUUUAUUCAUAUAUAAUGAAUUAAACACGUUUUUUCCUUCCCACAAUUCCCAACGAGAUCUGUGCGAAGUGUUGUUCUUUCGGACUCUGCGAAUUUCCAGUUUCUACAACGAAAUAGCUCGACUAAUCAUCUGUUUAUAGAAUUGAUGUUCGAAAUCGUGAUUUCUGAGUGAACUUCAUUGGAGCAGAAAAUCUUGGAGGGAACAUCAAUAUUAAUUUAAUGACAUUCCAUAAGAAUAAAAGUAAGUUAAUUUCAUUUUCAUGUUUUGAUCUCACUUGCAAUGGUGAUGUGUUCGCUGGGGUUCGGGGCCCAUCCCGUAUUACUUUACUACGUAAACCUCCAUUUCCAUACACUCCCAUUUCUUUUGCCUGACUUCCAAAUAAAUCAUCUGUCAUUUAGUUUCUCAGAAAAAAUAGGCCUAACUUACCAUUUGUCGUAGACCUUCAUCGGAAUAUGCUUCAUGUAGGCAAAAAGUAAACCUGUAUUUCAGUUUUAUUGUCAAUUAUCAGGGGUAGAUGUGGACUUGUUUCAGACCUCCUGUUUUAGUAACGAGAAACUCGAUUUUGGUCAGAGCGGGAUCCGGUCUUGAUAUCGCCGGUGCUAGCCGGCUAGCGAGAUUGUCGAUGUAGUCAUGGGGUAUGAAAAUAGCGGGGACGGACUAGGCCCAAACUUAAGUUCAAGCUUGAAAGUUGAAGUUUAGGUCUAGUCCGUCACGCUAUUUAAAUCUUUAUAUGAAUAAGUAUAAUUCUCAGCAGCUUCUUUUAUUCAAAAACUUUUUACUUCAGAGUAAUCAUGAAUGAAAUGAUUUAGUGUUAGAUUUGAAUGAAAUGUCUUAGACGCAAAUCAAGUUUCCAUUUGAACAGGAUGCCCUGGGCCUGGCCUGGGGUGGUAUUCUGAAAAAUUCUUAGUGUUUACUUCAUUCAAAUGUGUUGUGAUUUGACUUUAGUUAUAUACAGGACCAGUAUAGACCAGGUCCUGAUUCAGCUAUACAGCUGGAGCAAUAUUGGUUGGAAUCAUUUUACUUUAAUACACAGUAAUAUGCGUAUGCUUCUCUGUGAAACUUUAUGAUAGAGAGAGAAUGAAGUUUUUGGACCGACCAGAUAAUCAAUUUUGGAAUAUUCUUAGGCCAAUGAUAUGGACAGCUUGAAAUUUUUUAAAUAUUGUUUAAGAAGAGUAGUUAUUGGGGUUAGUUUAUUUAUCUCUAAUACCGUACUCUCAAACUUAAAAAAAAAUGUUUAUUGCAGAUCCAAUAGGACCAAGAUUUUAGCAGUUCACACCCGGUCAGAGGGACAAACAGAGGAACAGGAUAUCUGAAUUGGAAAAUUGCAAGGUUUCCCACUGCCCAAGCUGUUUAAGUACUGGUAUCACAACAAGUACCAAGACGGAAGAUAUAUGAAGGCCAAGCUAAUAAGUAGUUACUUCAAAUUAAUUUGAAUAGAUAUAUCAACAAAGCAGUGAAUGUUCUUUAAACUGUACAUCUGUAGAAAAGAGUUCAGGUUCAUCAGCUGGCAAUAUGACAUUAAAGUAUACAAAAUUUCACACAAAAUACAAGAAAGAACUAUUUUUUUUCCAAUGGGCAAAUGUAUAUCCUUUUAUUAAUAUUUAAUAUUUCUACUAGUUCUUAGAAGUUUUUGUGAAAUUAAAUAUAAUUUCCAGUUUAAAGGACUAUUGUAUACAAGACAAAAAUUUAUGUUUUGAAAUAAAAAUCAUGCGUAGAUAAAUGUUAAUAAAGGUGAUCAGAGGAUUAAGAAAUAAUUUUAGUAUCACUCCUGGACCUCAUUCCAUAAACAAGUUAUUACUAUUGUAAUCUUGUCACUAUGACAAUUACCAUGGUAACAGGGCUGAGCAAGAAAUCAAGGUCUUUAUGGUAGCUGCAAUGGGCUUGGACAAAGUUACCAUAAUUGCAAGUCGUCAUAAUAAUGGCUCAAUAAUUAUAGGGAUAUUAAAUUGCAUUUAUUGUUAUCUUACUCAAAGUUUUGAAAUGGGUUUCCUCUGCAAAAAUAUAUAAAUAGACUAUAUUUU